rnacentral:lncRNA from 10 species
AACAUCCUUGGCAUCAAGCCUGGCAGGUGUGGUGGUCACUACCACUGCCAUUCUGAAAUAUGGUGAGACUGAAGUAUUGCCACUGACUUGAAAACAUUUCCAAGUGAAGCAUUUAGAAAUGUUUUAUUUUGUUAAAAACAGCUUUAUUGAAAUAUAAUUUACACACUAUUCAAUUCCCUUAAAGUAUACAAUUCAAUAAUUUUUGUAUAAUCACAGCAUUAUACAACUGUCACCACAAUCAAUUUCAGACAGUUUUUGGAAGCCCCCAAAGAAACCCUAUGCCCUUCAGUCAUCACUCUUCAGUCCCCCAUCUCAUCCCAAGCCCUUGGCAACCACUCAUCUACUUUCUGUCUCUAUUGAUUUGUUUUCUGCAUGUUUCAUAUGAACAGAAUUAUUUAAUAUGUGGUUCCUUGUGACUAGCUUCUGUUUUGUUUUGUUUCUUUGUUUUUAACCACUUUAUUGAGAUAUGAUUGACAUACAAAAGCGGUAGAAAUGUAGUGUAUACAACCCGAUGUGUUUGAAGCUCUGUGCCCCACCCCAGGCCUUUUAUUCGUGUUAUUUGUGUGCAGGUUGUGUAUUGUGGCCAGCUGCCUUCCUGGCUGAACUGUGAGCUCAGUUUCCUUUCUCCAGUGUGAUUGCUUGUACAGGUUGGGACAAGUUGGUAAAACUGGAAAUAACAACUUUGCUCGCAAAUGCAUUGGCUAGCCUCACUGAGGCAAUUUUGAUGGAAAGAGAAAGGGCAAAGCAGGUAAUACCUGUUAUGCAUUGUAAAAUAAAACUGCUGUCAGGCUAAUACAGAGACAAGAGCUUUCUUAAGUUCUGUAGAAGUACUAGGAGUAGAUUAGGAGGCCAAGGUGGGCAGAUCAUGAGGUCAGGAGUUCGAGACCAGCUUGACCAACAUGGUGAAACUUCGUCUCUACUAAAAAUACAAAAAUUAGCCAGGCACAGUGGCACGCACCUGUAUUCCCAGCUACUCCAGAGGCUGAGGCAGGAUAAUCGCUUGAACCCGGGAGGUGGAGGUUGCAGUGAGCCAAGAUUGCAGCACUGCACUCCAGCCUGGGCAACAGAGUGAGACUCUGCACCCGGUGUGAGCCACUGCACCCAGCCCGUAUCUUGCAAUUUUCACUUAACCAUUCACAGAAAGUGCCUUUCCCCACUGUUCUUCAAGAGGCCUGUACCAGUUUACACUGGCAGCUGCAGAAUACGAACGUUCCAGGGUUCACAGCUGAGUUUUUGUUUACAUGGUAAUAUAGAAAUGGACUGCCUGGCAUGAUCUUCUCAUGGCCUAUUGCCCCUAGGACUGCUCUGUGGACAGAUAGGAGGAGGCAGGUCUACUUCCUGGGUCACCAAAUGCUCUGGAAUCAUAACCUCACCUUCUCUCCUCUAAGACAGAUAGGCUGGAGUGCAGUGGUGUGAUCUCAGCUCACUGCAACCUCUGCCUUCUGGGUUCAAGCGAUCCUCCAGCCUCAGCCUUCCAAGUAGCUGGAUUACAAGCACAGAUGGGUUUACAGGCGUGAGCCACCGCGCCGGGCCCAGAGUUAGGGCAUUCUGAAGCCCAAAACCAGAGAAGGCUGAGGAAAUUAGCCAGGGAGUGAGAAAGUCAAGCUGCUGCUUUGCAUUAGAUCUCAGCCUUCCCAGGAGCACUUUAUUUGGAUUUCGCUCUUCUUUAUUGACAGAACUUUCCUUUCAUGUACGGUUGCAGUGUACCUGAUGAAUCCGCUCAUUUCUAUGCACACAAGGGUUUCACCUUUAUAGUAUAGCAUAUUUCAUAGAAAAUUAAACAUUGAACCUGAAAAAUUGGAUUUGGCAUUUGAUAUUUUAAAACUCUGACAUGGCCUUCCAUAUUUUUUUGUUGUUUUAUUUUUAGGAAAGUCUAGAAAAGAAAUGACAUUUGAAAACCAUCUACCCUGUUCACGUAGUUUUGUUCCUGGAUAAAUCGUCUUCUGCUUUAUGGAAGUGACUUAUAAAAGAGACUCAGCAACCAGAGUGUUUUCCUUUGAAAGCCAGAGAGGAAAGUACUGCUGAGAGGUUUGUAUCUGGUGCAUUUGUCAGCAACAGGUAAUUUCCCAGAGGUGGGAUGAGCAAAACCAUUGUAUAUUUUUAAAUAGCUUAAAGAGUAUAAUUGUAUUGUUUGUAACUCAAAGGAUAAAUACUUGAGAGGAUGGAUACCCCAUUCCCCAUGAUGUGCUUAUUUCACAUUGCAUGCCUGUAUCAAAACAUCUCAUGUACCCCAUACUCAUGUACCUACUAUGUACCCAGAAAAAAUUUUAAAAUAAUUUUAAAAAUUUAAAAAAAGAGGCCGGGCACAGUGGCUCACGCCUGUAAUCCUAGCACUUUGGGAGGCCAAGGUGGGUGGAUCACAAGGUCAGGAGAUCGAGACCCACUCCAGCCUGGCAACAGAGUGAGACUCCUUCUCAAAAAAAAAAAAAAAAAAAAAGAAUGAAUGCUUUAAUAAAAGAAAAUAACCUAAGGACAAUGGAUGUCAGUGCCAUGCCCGACUUCCUCCAGCUGACAUGCUGACUCUGACUCAGCUCUGCCCUUCUCUUCAUGUUCUUCACUGGCCAUAAGUCCGAAGACAUCCGGAUGCUGUGGGAUCCUGAAUAGCUCUUGUGUCUUAGUCCUGUCCUUCCACCACAUCUCAGAAGCCAUGCCAAUGACACAGCUGUGUCUGGAGGGGACGCUGUGCCUGCUGCCACCACUUGCCCUCAGCCCAGGGGUGGAAUCAAUACUGAGGAUGACAGAGGGACAGAUGGAAAGUCCUCCGUGACACUCACUAUCAAUCACAUUGCAUCUGGAGCUCGCCUUGUCUCUGGAUUCCUGGUUACAGGGACAAUAACUGUUCUUCUGGUUAAACCAGUUGAAUCAGAUGUUUAUAAAUGGCAGUCAAAAGUAUGGACAUGUCUAGGAAGGGCUGAAACUCUUGCAGUAACCCAGCCAAUCAUCUGUGAUGUCAUCUUGUCUGGCAGCCUGUUAAGCCAUAAUCCAUCUCUUAUAGCUUGAAAAGCAACAACUGCUGGUGGCUACCAGAUUUAACAAGAAAGCAUAGAGGAUGUCCAGUGAAAUCUGAAUUUCAGAUAAACAAUAAAUAAUUUUUACAGCAUUACCAUGUCCCACAUAUUGCAUGAGACACACUGAUAUGAAAAUACCACUGCUUGU